rnacentral:rRNA from 1 species
CCUACGGGCGGCAGCAGUGAGGAAUAUUGGUCAAUGGGCGUAAGCCUGAACCAGCCAAGUCGCGUGAGGGAUGAAGGUUCUAUGGAUCGUAAACCUCUUUUAUAAGGGAAUAAAGUGUGGGACGUGUCCUGUUUUGUAUGUACCUUAUGAAUAAGCAUCGGCUAACUCCGUGCCAGCAGCCGCGGUAAUACGGAGGAUCCGAGCGUUAUCCGGAUUUAUUGGGUUUAAAGGGUGCGUAGGCGGCCGUUUAAGUCAGCGGUGAAAGUCUGUGGCUCAACCAUAGAAUUGCCGUUGAAACUGGGAGGCUUGAGUAUGUUUGAGGCAGGCGGAAUGCGUGGUGUAGCGGUGAAAUGCUUAGAUAGCACGCAGAACCCCGAUUGCGAAGGCAGCCUGCCAAGCCAUGACUGACGCUGAUGCACGAAAGCGUGGGGAUCAAACAGGAUUAGAUACCCCUGUAGUC